rnacentral:rRNA from 1 species
UACAGAGGGUGCUAGCGUUAUCCGGAAUUAUUGGGCGUAAAGCGCGCGCAGGCGGUUUCUUAAGUCUGAUGUGAAAGCCCACGGCUCAACCGUGGAGGGUCAUUGGAAACUGGGGAACUUGAGUGCAGAAGAGAAAAGCGGAAUUCCACGUGUAGCGGUGAAAUGCGUAGAGAUGUGGAGGAACACCAGUGGCGAAGGCGGCUUUUUGGUCUGUAACUGACGCUGAGGCGCGAAAGCGUGGGGAGCAAACAGG